ACUCCUACGGGAGGCAGCAGUGGGGAAUAUUGCACAAUGGGGGAAACCCUGAUGCAGCAACGCCGCGUGAAGGAUGAAGGUUUUCGGAUUGUAAACUUCUUUGACCGGGGACGAAACAAAUGACGGUACCCGGAAAACAAGCCACGGCUAACUACGUGCCAGCAGCCGCGGUAAUACGCAGGUGGCGAGCGUUGUCCGGAAUUACUGGGUGUAAAGGGCGUGCAGGCGGGUCUGCAAGUCAGAUGUGAAAUUCCGGGGCUUAACCCCGGCGCUGCAUUUGAAACUGCGGAUCUUGAGUAUCGGAGAGGGAAGUGGAAUUCCUAGUGUAGCGGUGAAAUGCGUAGAUAUUAGGAGGAACACCAGUGGCGAAGGCGACUUUCUGGACGAUAACUGACGCUGAGGCGCGAAAGCGUGGGGAGCAAACAGGAUUAGAUACCCUGGUAGUCCACGCCGUAAACGAUGGAUACUAGGUGUGGGGGGUAUCGACCCCCCCCGUGCCGCAGCUAACGCAAUAAGUAUCCCACCUGGGGAGUACGGCCGCAAGGUUGAAACUCAAAUGAAUUGACGG
rnacentral:rRNA from 1 species